CAAUAUUCUCCUGGCACAAGUGAUACUGAACUGAAUGGGGCUUAUACUGGCCAAAUGGGGGUAUCAGAGCAAAGCUCUUCUGAUACAUGUUUAUCUCAUUUCUUCUAGCUUUCACAAAUUCAGCAGCAAUUAAUUUUUCAGUACCAGAUCUACACAUUUAUAAUGCACUCUGGGGGAUACUAUGAAUUUUUGACAGACCUGCAUCACACAGAGGAAAAAAGUUUUAGCAUACCAUAAUCACUCCAAGGGCUUCUAGUUCUAAGGCAGAACUUUGAUUUCAACUGAGUCUGAAGAUACACAGAAGGGCCAAAGUGAGGAUGCAGUAUUUAAACAAACAUAGAGAAAACUGCCCCGUUUUUAUAUAUGGCUCUGGAUACAUUCAUCUCUGUCUCUCCAGCCAGAGUGUUCCUUAUCAGGUAUAUCUGCUUCCCGUGAUCUUCUUUUUGGGUGCCUUCAGGCCACCACAAUUGCACUGGUUUUGAAGACAUUAUGUGUACAGAGAUUUAAUCAAAAAUUCUAUAAAUGUCCUUGGGAGGAUGUCCCCUUGAACACCUUGAGACUUGCUUCUGAGAACAAGCAGAGAAUGAGAUCAUCAAAACACACUGGAAAGACAUGUGGAAAAUAAUCAGAAACUGAAGGAAUGAGACAGCCAAAGGAUUCAGAAAGUACCUUCAAAAAUGCAUUGGUUGGAGAUGGGAAUGGAUAUGAAAAAGUCCCAUCACAGGGAUAUAUGUAAAGGAAGAGAGAACAAUUGCAGUGGAAUCUCUAAAGGAAAUCAGAUGUUAGGAAAAAAGAAUGAGGUGAGAUCAAAAGGAAUUUUUCACCAUUAGAUAGAUAAAAAGGUAGAGAAAUUAAAAAAAAUUAAAUUCCAAACCUUGACUGCUUCCUUCAGGAAACCAUAAAAAACACAAAAAAACAUAAAAAUUAAAAUUACUUUACUGCAGGAGAAUUCACAUGGGAUAUAAUGAUUUCUUUAAUGUGUAUGCAGACGUGAGAAUUAGAAGACAUAUAUCUGCAUCUUUGGGAAACAGUCUUAAUUUGUACAUGAACUGAAGACAUACUGGAUUCCACAGUAGAAAAUUUAUUAUUGUAUCAAGAUCCUGGAAUAAGUAGUAUGAAACUCUCAAAACUGUGAUGGUGUUGAGUAAUUUAGCACACGUGGUACACAAUUCCCUCAUUUACAACCCGCACGGAAAUUAAUAACCACAGGAAGGAACAGCUAACUAGCAGUACUCCUGCAUAUCAGUAAUUCAUUGCAAUGGGAUUUGCCCCCAGAGAGGUUCCCAGGGAUAUUGUCUCAUACUAUUAAGCCAUUUCUAGUCUUCAGUGGGAUUUAACUGCAUGCUCAAAUGCUUUGCUCAUAGGACUGA